rnacentral:rRNA from 1 species
GAUGAACGCUAGCGGCAGGCCUAACACAUGCAAGUCGAGGGAGAAGCCCUUCGGGGCAGAAACCGGCGCACGGGUGCGUAACGCGUAUGCAACCUACCUUUCACAGGGGGAUAGCCCGAAGAAAUUUGGAUUAAUACCCCAUAAUAUUGUUGGAUGGCAUCAUCUGGCAAUUAAAACUGAGGUGGUGAGAGAUGGGCAUGCGUCCUAUUAGCUAGUUGGAGUGGUAACGGCACCCCAAGGCUACGAUAGGUAGGGGUCCUGAGAGGGAGAUCCCCCACACUGGUACUGAGACAGGGACCAGACUCCUACGGGAGGCAGCAGUGAGGAAUAUUGGUCAAUGGUCGGAAGACUGAACCAGCCAUGCCGCGUGCAGGAAGAAUGCCUUAUGGGUUGUAAACUGCUUUUAUAUGGGAAGAAUAAGGAGUACGAGUACUUUGAUGACGUACCAUAUGAUAAGCUCGCA